ACUGUGGUAAUUCUAGAGCUAAUACAUGCACCAAAGCUCCGAUUUUUGAAGAGCGCAUUUAUUAGACUAAAACCAAUCGGGUCUCGGCCCGUGUUUUGGUGACUCUGAAUAGCUAUAGCUGAUCGCAUGGUCAUGUACCGGCGACAUAUCUAUCAAGUAUCUGCCUUAUCAACUUUCGAUGGUAGUUUAUGUGCCUACCAUGGUUGUUACGGGUAACGGAGAAUAAGGGUUCGACUCCGGAGAGGGAGCCUGAGAAACGGCUACCACAUCCAAGGAAGGCAGCAGGCGCGCAAAUUACCCACUCUCGGCAAGAGGAGGUAGUGACGAAAAAUAACGAGACCGUUCUCAAUGAGGCCGGUUAUCGGAAUGGGUACAAUUUAAACCCGUUAACGAGAAUCUAUAAGAGGGCAAGUCUGGUGCCAGCAGCCGCGGUAAUUCCAGCUCUUAAAGUGUAUAUCGUUACUGUUGCGGUUAAAAAGCUCGUAGUUGGAUCUGCGCUAGAGGACUUGGUCCACCUUGGUAGGGUGCUGAACUAAGCUCCUCGGCUAAACAAAACGCCUGGUUGUUCCCGAUGUCGCCUUUACCGGUUGCGUCAGGGUGACUGGCAAUUUUACUUUGAAGAAAUUAGAGUGUUCAAAGCGGGCUUUAAAGCUCGAAUAUUUGUGCAUGGAAUAAUAGAAUAGGAUCUUGGGUCCUACUUUGUUGGUUUUGUGAUCUAAGAUAAUGGUUAAGAGGGACAGACGGGGGCAUUCGUAUCGCUGCGUGAGAGGUGAAAUUCUUGGACCGUAGCGAGACGCCCUACUGCGAAAGCAUUUGCCAAGAAUGUCUUCAUUAAUCAAGAACGAAAGUCAGAGGUUC
rnacentral:rRNA from 1 species